rnacentral:tRNA from 1 species
CGGGGUGUACCUCAACCUGGUAGAGGGCCUGCUUUGGGAGCAGGACGUUGAGCGUUCGAAUCGCUCCAUCCCGA